rnacentral:rRNA from 1 species
UACGUAGGGGGGCAAGCGUUGUCCGGAAUCAUUGGGCGUAAAGAGCGUGUAGGCGGCCCGAUAAGUCCGCUGUGAAAGUCCAGGGCUCAACCCUGGGAUGCCGGUGGAUACUGUCGGGCUCGAGUCCGGAAGAGGAGUGUGGAAUUCCUGGUGUAGCGGUGAAAUGCGCAGAUAUCAGGAGGAACACCAAUGGCGAAGGCAGCACUCUGGGACGUGACUGACGCUGAGACGCGAAAGCGUGGGGAGCAAACAGG